rnacentral:rRNA from 1 species
GGCAAUGCCCGCAAGGGUGACCCAGCAACGCCGCGUGAAGGAUGAAAGCCGUAAGGUUGUAAACUUCUGUUAGAGGGGAAGAAUAACUAUAAUUAAAAUUUAUAGCUUGACUGUACCCUCAGAGAAAGCCCCGGCUAACUACGUGCCAGCAGCCGCGGUAAUACGUAGGGGGCAAGCGUUGUCCGGAUUUACUGGGUGUAAAGGGCGCGUAGGCGGAUUUUUAAGUCAGAGGUGAAAGCCUGCAGCUUAACUGCAGAACUGCCUUUGAUACUAUUAAUCUUGAGUACGGAAGAGAGAGACGGAAUUCCAGGUGUAGUGGUGAAAUACGUAGAUAUCUGGAAGAACACCAGUUGCGAAGGCGGUCUCCUGGUCCGAAACUGACGCUGAGGCGCGAAAGCGUGGGUAGCAAACAGGAUUAGAUACCCUGGUAGUCCACGCUGUAAACGAUGAAUACUAGGUGUUGGGUUGUAAAACUCAGUGCCGCAGCUAACGCAUUAAGUAUUCCACCUGGGGAGUACGAUCGCAAGGUUGAAACUCAAAGGAAUUGACG